rnacentral:rRNA from 1 species
AUUGAACGCUGGCGGCAGGCUUAACACAUGCAAGUCGAGCGGGGUGAUGGUGCUUGCACUAUCACUUAGCGGCGGACGGGUGAGUAAUGCUUAGGAAUCUGCCUAUUAGUGGGGGACAACGUCUCGAAAGGGAUGCUAAUACCGCAUACGUCCUACGGGAGAAAGCAGGGGAUCACUUGUGACCUUGCGCUAAUAGAUGAGCCCAAGUCGGAUUAGCUAGUUGGGGGGGUAAAGGCCUACCAAGGCGACGAUCUGUAGCGGGUUUGAGAGGAUGAUCCGCCACACUGGGACUGAAACACGGCCCAGACUCCUACGGGAGGCAGCAGUGGGGAAUAUUGGACAAUGGGGGGAACCCUGAUCCAGCCAUGCCGCGUGUGUGAAGAAGGCCUUAUGGUUGUAAAGCACUUUAAGCGAGGAGGAGGCUCUUUUGGUUAAUACCCAAGAUGAGUGGACGUUACUCGCAGAAUAAGCACCGGCUAACUCUGUGCCAGCCGCCGCAGUAA